rnacentral:rRNA from 1 species
UACGAAGGGGGCUAGCGUUGUUCGGAAUUACUGGGCGUAAAGCGCACGUAGGCGGAUGGUUAAGUCAGGGGUGAAAUCCCGGAGCUCAACUCCGGAACUGCCUUUGAUACUGGCCAUCUCGAGGCCGGAAGAGGUGAGUGGAAUUCCCAGUGUAGAGGUGAAAUUCGUAGAUAUUGGGAAGAACACCAGUGGCGAAGGCGGCUCACUGGUCCGGAUCUGACGCUGAGGUGCGAAAGCGUGGGGAGCAAACAGG